UGAGUACGAGACGCUAAGGCGUCGAAGUAGUGUAUGUCAUACUUCCAAGAAAAGCUUGCACUAUCAUAGAUAAAAAACGCCUGUACCAUAACCGACACAGGUGGGUAGGUAGAGUAUACUAAGGGGCGCGAGAUAACUCUCUCUAAGGAACUCGGCAAAAUAACUCCGUAACUUCGGGAGAAGGAGUGCCUUAUUAUUAAGGUUGCAAUAACAAGAUCCAAGCAACUGUUUAUCAAAAACACAGGUCUCCGCUAAGUCGUAAGACGAUGUAUGGGGGCUGACGCCUGCCCAGUGCCAGAAGGUUAAAGAAGUUGGUUAGCAAUUGCGAAGCUGAUAACUGAAGCCCUGGUGAACGGCGGCCGUAACGAUAACGGUCCUAAGGUAGCGAAAUUCCUUGUCGGGUAAGUUCCGACCCGCACGAAAGGCGUAAUGAUUUGGAUACUGUCUCGGAGAGGGGCUCGGUGAAAUAGACUUGUCUGUGAAGAUGCGGACUACCUGCACCAGGACAGAAAGACCCUAUGAAGCUUUACUGUAACUUGAAAUUGAAAUUGGACUUUAUUCGCGCAGUAUAGGUGGGAGGCGUUGAUUAUAAUCUUGCGGGAUUAUUGGAGCCAUCAGUGAGAUACCACUCUUGUAAUGUUAGAUUUCUAACUUUGAAUCAUUAUCUGGUCAAAGAACAGUUUCAGGCGGGCAGUUUGACUGGGGCGGUCGCCUCCUAAACGGUAACGGAGGCGUACAAAGGUUUCCUCUGAACGGUUAGAAAUCGUAUCUAGAGUGUAAAGGCAUAAGGAAGCUUGACUGUGAGACCUACAAGUCGAGCAGAGACGAAAGUCGGUCUUAGUGAUCUGACGGUACUGAGUGGAAAGGCCGUCACUCAACGGAUAAAAGUUACUCUAGGAUAACAGGCUGAUCUCCCCCAAGAGUUCACAUCGACGGGGAGGUUUGGCACCUCGAUGUCGGCUCAUCGCAUCCUGGGGCGGUAGUACGUCCCAAGGGUUGGGCUGUUCGCCCAUGAAAGCGGUACGCGAGCUGGGUUCAGAACGUCGUGAGACAGUUCGGUCCAUAUCCGGUGUAGGCGUUAGAUAUUGAGAGGAGCCUUCUUUAGUACGAGAGGACCGAGAAGGACAUACCUCUGGUGUACCAGUUAUCGUGCCAACGGUAAACGCUGGGUAGCUAUGUAUGGAGUGGAUAACCGCUGAAAGCAUCUAAGUGGGAAGCCCACCUCAAGAUAAGUAUUC
rnacentral:rRNA from 1 species